rnacentral:rRNA from 1 species
AUUGGGACUGAGACACGGCCCAAACUCCUACGGGAGGCAGCAGUAGGGAAUUUUCGUCAAUGGGGGGAACCCUGAACGAGCAAUGCCGCGUGAGUGAGGAAGGUCUUCGGAUCGUAAAGCUCUGUUGUAAGAGAAAAACGGCACUCAUAGGGAAUGAUGAGUGAGUGAUGGUAUCUUACCAGAAAGUCACGGCUAACUACGUGCCAGCAGCCGCGGUAAUACGUAGGUGGCGAGCGUUAUCCGGAAUGAUUGGGCGUAAAGGGUGCGUAGGUGGCAGAUCAAGUCUGGAGUAAAAGGUAUGGGCUCAACCCGUACUGGCUCUGGAAACUGAUCAGCUAGAGAACAGAAGAGGACGGCGGAACUCCAUGUGUAGCGGUAAAAUGCGUAGAUAUAUGGAAGAACACCGGUGGCGAAGGCGGCCGUCUGGUCUGGAUUCUGACACUGAAGCACGAAAGCGUGGGGAGCAAAUAGGAUUAGAUACCCUAGUAGUCCACGCCGUAAACGAUGAGAACUAGGUGUUGGGGGAAUAACUCAGUGCCGCAGUUAACGCAGUAAGUUCUCCGCCUGGGGAGUAUGCACGCAAGUGUGAAACUCAAAGGAAUUGACGGGGGCCCGCACAAGCGGUGGAGUAUGUGGUUUAAUUCGAAGCAACGCGAAGAACCUUACCAGGCCUUGACAUCCCUUGCAGAGGUAUAGAGAUAUAUCCGAGGUUAUCAAGGAGACAGGUGGUGCAUGGUUGUCGUCAGCUCGUGUCGUGAGAUGUUGGGUUAAGUCCCGCAACGAGCGCAACCCUUGUGAUAUGUUACUAACAUUGAGUUGAGGACUCAUAUCAGACUGCCGGUGACAAACCGGAGGAAGGUGGGGAUGACGUCAAAUCAUCAUGCCCCUUAUGGCCUGGGCUACACACGUACUACAAUGGCGUCUACAAAGAGCGGCAAGCCUGUGAAGGCAAGCGAAUCUCAUAAAGGGCGUCUCAGUUCGGAUUGAAGUCUGCAACCCGACUUCAUGAAGCUGGAAUCGCUAGUAAUCGCGAAUCAGCAUGUCGCGGUGAAUACGUUCUCGGGCCUUGUACACACCGCCCGUCAAACCAUGGGAGUUGGUAAUGCCCGAAGCCGGUGGCAUAACCCUUCGGGGAGUGAGCCGUCGAAGGCAGGACCGAUGACUGGGGUUAAGUCGUAACAAGGUAUCCCUACGGGAACGUGGGGAUG